CCGGAGCUUGCUCCGGUGAAAGUGGCGCACGGGUGAGUAACGCGUGGAUAAUCUGCCCUGGUAUCUGGGAUAACAUCUCGAAAGGGGUGCUAAUACCGGAUAAGCCUACGGGAUCCUCGGAUUCUGCAGGAAAAGGUGGCCUCUAUUUAUAAGCUACCGUAUCAGGAUGAGUCCGCGUACCAUUAGCUAGUUGGUGGGGUAAUGGCCUACCAAGGCGACGAUGGUUAGCUGGUCUGAGAGGAUGAUCAGCCACACUGGAACUGAGACACGGUCCAGACUCCUACGGGAGGCAGCAGUGGGGAAUUUUGCGCAAUGGGGGAAACCCUGACGCAGCAACGCCGCGUGAGUGAUGAAGGCUUUCGGGUCGUAAAGCUCUGUCAGAGGGGAAGAAAUGAAACGUGCUAAUAUCACGUUUUCUUGACGGUACCCUCAAAGGAAGCACCGGCUAACUCCGUGCCAGCAGCCGCGGUAAUAC
rnacentral:rRNA from 1 species